ensembl:rRNA 5_8S_rRNA 5.8S ribosomal RNA
ACAACUCAGCAUUGGAUCUCUUGGCUCAAAUCUCAAUGUAAAACACAGCUAGUUGCCAGAAUUAAUGCAAAUUGCAGGACACAUUGAUCACUGACACUUUGAAUGCCCCGGGGGCCUGGGGCUAUGCCUUGUGAGUGUUG